GAAGCCAGAGGAGAGGGAAGAGGUUACCUCCACAUCUCUCAAGGCUGGAAAUUCCAGAAAGGUGUCUCAGGAAUGGCAGCCACAGGACUCAGACCCCAGAAGUGCCUCGAACCCCCCAGCACCAAGAGAGUGUGUGAACCAGUGGCCCCGCUCUGUCCACACUUGGAAUGUCUGCUUAAGGAAAGAUGUUUCUGGCUUCCAGUCUUCCACAUCCUGCAGGUCAAAACAGCUUCCAUGGGGAAGGACUGAGCUGCUUGGCCUGCAGAGGAAGCGGGAAGCAGUCAGAUGCAAGGCACCCAGGUUAGAAUUCAAAUGCUGCAGGCACCGGGGUCUGCAUGACAGGACGGCCCAGUUUACGCUGUAGCUGAGGAAACUGAGGCAAAGAGGACGAGGAAAGCUGCCCACAAUCACCCUGCUAUGGCCCAGGACUGCAGUUCAGAUCCCAGGACUUCCAGGCUGGUGCUUUUUCCACCACGGAAAAUAUUAAAGACUAAAUAAA
rnacentral:lncRNA from 10 species